rnacentral:lncRNA from 1 species
UAUUGGGUUAGAACAGUUCUAGAAGACAGGGUUAUAGGGUUAGAACAGUUCUAGAAGACAGGGUUAGAACCGUUCUAGAAGACAGGGUUAGAACAGUUCUAGAAGACAGGGUUAGAACAGUUCUAGAAGACAGGGUUAUAGGGUUAGAACAGUUCUAG